CGUACACAGGCCGGGCGGGCGCGCUGGGCGCCGGGUGUCGGCUGGAGACUCCGCGGGAGCGCGGCCGGGAGGCCUCGCCCGGGAGCGGGCCCGACGCCUCCCAAGCUGGCAGGGCUCUGGGCGGAGGUCGGAGAGUGGGCUUCCUCCUCCCGCCAGGGAAAACAGAGAGGAUGAAAGCCUAUCUAAAGAGCGCAGAAGGCUUUUUUGUCCUAAAUAAAAGUACCACAAUUGGAAGGCAUGAAGAUUCAGACCUUGUUUUACAGUCUCCUGACAUCGACAACCACCAUGCACUCAUCGAAUAUAACGAGGCGGAGUGCAGCUUUGUUCUCCAGGACUUCAAUUCCCGCAACGGCACGUUUGUCAACGAGUGCCACAUUCAGAACGUGGCUGUGAAGCUCAUCCCUGGAGACAUCCUGAGAUUUGGGUCUGCAGGGCUGACCUAUGAACUGGUCGUUGAAAACCCACCUCCGGUCUCCUACCCAUGGAUGAGGGGCCCAGCACCAUGGCCAGGGCCACAGCCACCUCGUGCCACACAGCAACCGAACCAGGCCCCCCCGCCGCCACAUAUCCCCUUCCACCAAGGCAUCCAGCCAGCACCGGUGCAAAGGAGCUGGUCCCAGGGCUUCCCCAGACCCACUGUGGUCCUGCCGGCCUCCCACCGGCGGCCUGUGAGCGCCAGCAAGGAGAUGUUCUCGUUUGUGGUGGAGGACGCCCCCAAGCCCCCUGUCAUCAAGCAAGUGUGGACCAAUGCCAUGAAACUGUCGGAAACACCACUGGCCGAGGGGAUUCCUGGGGCAGUUCCCCCCGCGGAGAUUUAUGUGGAGGAGGACUUGGCCCAGCAGGACAAGGAUGAAAUAAUUCUGCUGCUGGGAAAAGAGGUCAGCCGUCUCUCAGAUUAUGAAAUUGAAUCCAAAUACAAAGACGUCAUAAUAGCAAACCUGCAGAAGGAAGUGGCUGAGCUGAGUCAGAAGCUGUCGGAGACCACCACCUCCAGGCAGAAUGAGAGGGAGAUCUCACAGAAGUGUCAGGUUCUGGAUGAAGACAUCGAUGCCAAACAGAAAGAGAUCCAGAGCUUGAAGAGCCAGAUCAGUGCCCUGCAGAAAGGGUACAGCCAGUUGCUGUGCCAGACCCUGUCGGAGCGGAACUCAGAAAUCACAUCCCUGAAGAACGAGGGCGAGAACUUAAAGAGGGACAACGCUAUCGCAUCAGGGAUGGUGUCAUCUUUGCAAAAAGACAUGUUAGCAAAGGAUGAGCAAGUUCAAGAACUAAAGGAAAAAGUCAAUCAACUAAAAAGUCAGAACAAAGACAAGGACCACCAGCUGGAAGCCCUUGGUUCUAGAUGCUCGGUACUAAAGGAAGAGUUAAAACAGGAAGACGCUCACAGGGAGCUCAGGGAAGCCCAGGAGAAAGAGUUAAAACUCUGCAAAACUCAAAUCCAAGACAUGGAGAAAGAAAUGAAGAAGCUCAGGGCGGAGCUGAGGAAGAGUUGUACUGAACAAAGCGUGAUCUCUAGGACUCUGAGAGAAAAGAGCAAGGUUGAAGAGAAGCUUCAGGAGGAUUCCAGAAGGAAAUUGCUUCAGCUGCAAGAAAUGGGGAACAGAGAGAGCCUCAUUAAAAUCAAUUUGGAGAGGGCAGUAGGUCAGCUGGAGCACUUCAGAAGUCAAGUCAUCAAGGCCACCUAUGGACGGGCAAAGCCAUUCCCAGACAAGCCCGUCACCGACCAACAGUUAAUAGAGAAAAUUGCCCAGGUCACUGAGGACAACAUCAAUUUUCAGCAGAAAAAGUGGACCCUACAGAAAGAAACCCAGCUGAGCAACUCCAAGCAGGAGGAGACCACCGAGAACAUCGAGAAGCUGAGGACGUCGCUGGACAGCUGCCAGGCUUGCAUGAAAAUGUCCUGUUGCACCAGUGACCUGAAGAAGGAGGUCGACCUUCUUCAGCACCUCCAGGUGAGCCCACCUGUCUCGGGGCUCCAGAAGGUGGUGCUGGACAUCCUGAGGCACGCCCUGUCCUGGCUGGAGGAGGUGGAGCAGCUCCUCCGGGACCUUGGGAUCCUGCCCUCCAGCGCUGACAAAGGGUUCUCUUUGUAUCUGAUAUAUCUUCUGGAACAUUAUAAAAAACUUAUGAGCCAGACCCAGGAACUUCAGAUCAAGUUCAACAGUUCUCAAGAAACUCAGCAGUCUUUACUGCAAGAAAAGCUGCGGGAGCAUCUGGCAGAGAAGAAGCAGCUGAACGAGGAGAGGCUAGAGCAAGAGGAGAAGCUGAAAGCCAAAAUCAGGCAACUGACGGAAGAGAAGGCGGCUUUGGAGGAGCGCAUUACGCAAGAGAGAAACAGAGCGAACGAGACUUUGGAAGAAGAACGGAAGAGAAUGCAAGAGCUGGAGAGCCUCCUGGCCCAGCAGAAGAAGGCUUUGGCGGAAAGCAUUACCCAGGAGAACAGAGUGAAGGAAGCAUUAGAGGAAGAGCAGACAAGAGUCCAAGAGCUGGAGAAACGCUUGGCCCGCCAGAAGGAGGUUUUGGAGAGCAGCAUAGCCCAUGAAAAAAGAAAAGCAAAGGAAGCCUUGGAGUCAGAAAAGAGAAAAGUUCAGGAUCUGGAGAACCACUUAACCCAACAGAAGGAGGUCUCAGAGAGCAGCAUUGCCUACGAGAAACGCAAAGCGAAGGAGGCCAUGGAGAAGGAAAAGAAAAAGGUGCAAGACCUGGAGAAUCGCUUAACCAAGCAGAAAGAGGAAUUAGAAUUAAAAGAGCAAAAAGAGGAUGUUUUAAGUAAUAAAUUAAAUGACGCACUAGCCAUGGUUGAAGAGACUCAGAAAACAAAGGCAACUGAAAGUCUAAAAGCAGAGAGCCUCGCCUUGAAAUUAAAUGAAACAUUAGCUGAACUGGAAACUACCAAGACAAAAAUGAUCUUGAUGGAAGAGCGGCUAAUCCUGCAGCAGAAGACGGUAAAGGCCGUCCAGGAUGAGCAGGAAUCACAGAGACAUGGAUUUGAAGAAGAGAUCAUGGAAUAUAAGGAGCAAAUCAAACAGCACUCCCAGACGAUUGUGAGCCUCGAAGAGAAACUCCAGAAAGUCAGUCAACACCAUAAAAAAAUAGAAGGCGAGAUUGCAACAUUGAAGGACAACGACCCGGCCCAAAAGGAGGAAAGGCCGCAAGACCCUCUGGUGGCUCCCACGACGGACAGCGGUGCCAAAGACAUGGCGUAUGAACACCUGAUAGAUGACUUAUUGGCUGCUCAGAAGGAAAUCCUGUCUCAGCAGGAGGUCAUCAUGAAGUUGAGGAAAGACCUUACAGAGGCCCACAGCAGAAUGUCGGAUUUGAGAGGGGAGCUAAACGAGAAGCAGAAGAUGGAACUGGAACGGAACGUGGCGCUGGUCCAGCAGCAAAGCAAGGAGCUGAGUGUGCUCAAGGAGAAGAUGGCCCAGAUGAGCAGUCUGACGGAAAAGAAAGACCGGGAGCUGAAGGCCCUCAAGGAGGCACUCAGGGCUUCCCAGGAGAAACACAGACUCCAGCUGAACACAGAGAAGGAACAGAAGUCCCGGAAGAAGACCCAGACGUGUGACACCUCUGUGCAGAUAGAACCCGUCCACACCGAGGCCUUCUCCAGCAGCCAAGAGGAGCAAUCCUUCAGCGAUCUAGGGGUCAAGUGCAAAGGGUCCCGGCACGAGGAGGUCAUUCAGCGUCAGAAAAAGGCCUUAUCUGAACUUCGAGCGCGAAUUAAAGAACUAGAGAAGGCGCACGCACCAGAUCAUAAAGACCACCAGAAUGAAUCCUUUCUAGAUUUAAAGAACCUCAGAAUGAAAAGCAAUAUCCAGAAAAUACUAUUGGAUGCAAAACCAGAUUUGCCAACUCUCUCAAGAAUAGAGAUCCUAGCGCCUCAGAAUGGCCUUUGCAACGCAAGGUUCAGCUCAGCCAUGGAGAAGUCAGGGAAGAUGGAUGUGGCUGAGGCUUUAGAGCUCAGUGAAAAGCUGUACCUGGAUAUGAGCAAAACCCUUGGAAGUCUGAUGAACAUCAAGGACAUGUCCGGCCACGUGUCCAUGAAAUACCUCUCCCGCCAGGAGAGGGACAAGGUCAACCAGCUUCGACAAAGGGACCUCGACCUGGUAUUUGAUAAGAUCACCCAGCUCAAGAACCAACUGGAGAGGAAAGAGGAGCUGUUGAGAGGAUACGAAAAAGACGUUGAACAGCUCAGGCGGAGCAAAGUGUCCGUUGAGAUGUACCAGUCGCAGGUGGCAAAGCUGGAGGAUGAUAUCUACAAAGAGGCCGAAGAAAAGGCCCUGCUGAAGGAGGCCCUGGAACGCAUGGAGCACCAGCUGUGCCAGGAGAAGAGGAUCAACAGGGCCAUCCGGCAGCAGAAGAUGAGGAAACUGCGCCUCAGAGAGUUAAGAGACGCCCAAGUGCACACAGUGGCUGGAAAGUGUAGAGGAGCACGAACCGAAAAACGCAAAAGAACCGACACCUUGCAACUGUGCCUUCAAAGAGAAAGAGAAGCAGAGACGAGUAUUUGUAAAGAUGGUGAAGAACAGGAUGCAGAACUCAAAUUCCCAGGUCGGAACCAGAAAAGCCUCCCUAAAGAUGGACCAAGAAAGAGAGAUGCUGAGAAAAGAGACCUCCAGCAAGUCCAGCCAGAGCCUUUUGCAUUCUAAGCCCAGUGGAAAGUACUAGAGAAACUUCGUCCCACCAGGCCUCGUGUGAUCCUGUGUCAGAACAGAAGCUGGAGCAGCCACCUUGGGGAUCAGCAGACACCAGUAGCAGGGCAAAGGAUAGUGGAGUGGAGGGAUGAGAAGGCCCAGGUGGGCACCCAGUGGCAUCGCUGAGCUCUGAACCAUGAAUGAACUGCCUACCUCUGUACUUCCUGUUGUAUAAGACAAAUAAAUCCCUAUCUAUUUAA